AUGAACUAUGGAAUGAGGUUCGUGACAGGAUCAAGACCAUCCCUAUGGAAAAGAAAUGCAAAAAAAGCAAAAUGGCUAUCUGCGGAGGCCUUACAAAUAGCUGUGAAAAGAAGAGAGGCGAAAAGCAAAGGAGAAAAGGAAAGAUAUAAGCAUCUGAGUGCAGAGUUUCAGAGAAUAGCAAGAAGAGAUAACAAAGCCUUCCUCAGUGAUCAGUGCAAAGAAAUAGAGGAAAACAACAGAAUGGGAAAGACUAGAGAUCUCUUCAAGAAAAUUAGAGAUACAAAGGGAACAUUUCAUCCAAAGAUGGGCUUGAUAAAGGACAGCAGUGGUAUGGACCUAACAGAAGCAGAAGUUAUUAAGAAGAGGUGGCAAGAAUACACAGAAGGACUGUACGAAAAAGAUUUUCAUGACCCAGAUAAUCAAGAUGAUGUGAUCACUAAUCUAGAGCCAGAUAACCUGGAAUGUGAAGUCAAGUGGCCCUUGGAAAGCAUCGCUAUGAAAAAAGCUAGUGGAAGUGAUGGAAUUCCAGAUGAGCUGUUUCAAACCCUGAAAGAUGAUGCUGUGAAAGUGCAGCAUUCAAUAUGCCAGAAAAUUUGGAAAACUCAGCAGUGGCCACAGGACUGGAAAAGGUCAGUGUUCAUUCCAGUUUCAAAGAUAGGCAAUGCCAAAGAAUGCAUAAACUACCGCACAAUUGCACUCAUCUCACAUGCUAGUAAAGUAAUGUUCAAAAAUCUCCAAGCCAGGCUUCAGCAAUACGUGAACCAAGAACACCCUGAUGUUCCAGCUGGUUUUAGAAAAGGCAGAGGAACCAGAGAUCAAAUUGCCAACAUCUGCUGGAUCAUGGAAAAAGCAAGAGAGUUCCAGAAAAACAUCUCUUUCUGCUUUAUUGACUAUGCCAAAGCCUUUGACUGUGUGGAUCACAAUAAACUGUGGGAAAUUCUGAAAGAGAUGGCAAUACCAUCUGACCUGCCUCUUGAGAAAUCUGUAUGCAGGUCAGGAAGCAGCACUGGACAUGGAACAACAGACUGGUUCCAAAUAGGAAAAGGAGUACGUCAAGGCUGUAUAUUGUCACCCUGCUUAUUUAACUUAUAUGCAGAGUACAUCAUGAGAAACGCUGGACUGAAGGAAACACAAGCUGGAAUCAAGAUUGCCGGGAGAAAUAUCAAUAACCUCAGAUAUGCAGAUGACACCACCCGUAUGGCAGAAAGUGAAGAGGAACUAAAAAGCCUCUUGAAGAAAGUGAAAGUGGAGAGUGAAAAAGUUGACUUAAAGCUCAACAUUCAGAAAAUGAAGGUCAUGGCAUCCAGUCCCAUCCCUUCAUGGGAAAUAGAUGGGGAAACAGUGGAAAGAGUGUCAGACUUUAUUUUGGGGGGCUCCAAAAUCACUGCAGAUGGUGACCGCAGCCAUGAAAUUAAAAGAUGCUUACUCCUUGGAAGAAAAGUUAUGACCAACCUAGAUAAUAUAUUCAAAAGCAGAGACAUUACCUUGCCCACUAAGGUCCGUCUAGUCAGGGCUAUGGUUUUUCCUGUGGUCAUGUAUGGAUGUGAGAGUUGGACUGUGAAGAAGGCUGAGCGCCGAAGAAUUGAUGCUUUUGAACUGUGGUGUUGGAGAAGACUCUUGAGAGUCGCUUGGACUGCAAGGAGAUCCAACUAG
rnacentral:lncRNA from 1 species